CUGCGUGGCGCAUCCCCAACAACGAGUGCUCAUUGUGAUAUAUAACUACCAAUAAGUGCUAUGUUGUUGGGGAAUUGCAAUGCAA
rnacentral:pre_miRNA from 1 species